UACGAAGGGGGCUAGCGUUGCUCGGAAUCACUGGGCGUAAAGCGCACGUAGGCGGAUUGUUAAGUCAGGGGUGAAAUCCUGGAGCUCAACUCCAGAACUGCCUUUGAUACUGGCGAUCUUGAGUCCGGGAGAGGUGAGUGGAACUGCGAGUGUAGAGGUGAAAUUCGUAGAUAUUCGCAAGAACACCAGUGGCGAAGGCGGCUCACUGGCCCGGUACUGACGCUGAGGUGCGAAAGCGUGGGGGAGCAAACAGGG
rnacentral:rRNA from 1 species